GACGAACGCUGGCGGCGUGCUUAACACAUGCAAGUCGAACGGAAAGGCCCUGCUUGCAGGGUGCUCGAGUGGCGAACGGGUGAGUAACACGUGGGUGAUCUGCCCCUUAUUUUGGGAUAAGCCUGGGAAACUGGGUCUAAUACUGGAUAGGACCAUGCUGUAGGUGGUGUGGUGGAAAGAUUAGUUUCGGUAAGGGAUGAGCUCGCGGCCUAUCAGCUUGUUGGUGGGGUAAUGGCCUACCAAGGCGUCGACGGGUAGCCGGCCUGAGAGGGUGGACGGCCACAUUGGGACUGAGAUACGGCCCAGACUCCUACGGGAGGCGGCAGUGGGGAAUAUUGCACAAUGGGCGCAAGCCUGAUGCAGCGACGCCGCGUGGGGGAUGACGGCCUUCGGGUUGUAAACUCCUUUCAGCCAUGACGAAGCCCUUGUGGUGACGGUAGUGGUAGAAGAAGCACCGGCUAACUACGUG
rnacentral:rRNA from 1 species